AGAGAGAGAGAGAGAGAGAGAGAGAGAGAGAGAGAGAGAGAGAGUUGGACUGGGCUACUAUUAGUAGCAAAAUCCCAUUAUUGCUAUCAGUUUUUUAGCCUUUGGAUCAACUCUUUUCAUUAUUUCUAACCAUUGGAUUAAAUACUAUAACCCAGUGGGGACCACUCAAUCCUAGGGGGACCACUCAACUCUAACCGACUAAUAUCAUCCUGACCCUAUAAUUUUUCAUCCAAAGAUUAAAAACUUGAUAGCAAAAAGAGCGUUUUACUAUUAAUAGUAUUUUAGCCUAUAUA
rnacentral:lncRNA from 1 species